rnacentral:ncRNA from 2 species
UCGCGCACUGCGGGAGAGCGGGGCCGCAAACCCCCGCCGAAGGCGCAAACUCCCAUCAUCGCUCAGGCAAAAGGACCGCAGUCGCACG